rnacentral:rRNA from 1 species
UUAAAUUGAAGAGUUUGAUCAUGGCUCAGAUUGAACGCUGGCGGCAGGCCUAACACAUGCAAGUCGAACGGUAACAGGAAGAAGCUUGCUUCUUUGCUGACGAGUGGCGGACGGGUGAGUAAUGUCUGGGAAACUGCCUGAUGGAGGGGGAUAACUACUGGAAACGGUAGCUAAUACCGCAUAACGUCGCAAGACCA